AUCCCUUCUCGGCCUUUUGGCUGAGAUCAAGUGUAGUAUCUGUUUUAUCAGUUUAAUAUCUGGUAUGUCCUCUAUCCGAGGACAAUACAUUAAAUGGAUUUUUGCAGCACGAAGUGGAGUAGGAGCUGGCUCCAUCCAUUUCACGCGUCAGCCUGGUAUUGCAGUGGAACGGUGCACCCGUU